rnacentral:rRNA from 1 species
UACGUAGGGUCCGAGCGUUGUCCGGAAUUAUUGGGCGUAAAGAGCUCGUAGGCGGUUUGUCGCGUCUGCUGUGAAAACUAGAGGCUCAACCUCUAGCCUGCAGUGGGUACGGGCAGACUUGAGUGGUGUAGGGGAGACUGGAAUUCCUGGUGUAGCGGUGGAAUGCGCAGAUAUCAGGAGGAACACCGAUGGCGAAGGCAGGUCUCUGGGCACUUACUGACGCUGAGGAG